GCCGGGAUAGCUCAGAUGGUAGAGCAGAG
rnacentral:tRNA from 3 species